GACGAAUGCUGGCGGCGUGCCUAAUACAUGCAAGUCGAACGCUUCUUUCCUCCCGAGUGCUUGCACUCAAUUGGAAAGAGGAGUGGCGGACGGGUGAGUAACACGUGGGUAACCUACCCAUCAGAGGGGGAUAACACUUGGAACAGGUGCUAAUACCGCAUAACAGUUUAUGCCGCAUGGCAUAAGAGUGAAAGGCGCUUCCGGGUGUCGCUGAUGGAUGGACCCGCGGUGCAUUAGCUAGUUGGUGAGGUAACGGCUCACCAAGGCCACGAUGCAUAGCCGACCUGAGAGGGUGAUCGGCCACACUGGGACUGAGACACGGCCCAGACUCCUACGGGAGGCAGCAGUAGGGAAUCUUCGGCAAUGGACGAAAGUCUGACCGAGCAACGCCGCGUGAGUGAAGAAGGUUUUCGGAUCGUAAAACUCUGUGUUAGAGAAGAACAAGGACGUUAGUAAACUGAACGUUCCCCUGGCGGUAUCUAACCA
rnacentral:rRNA from 1 species